GAGGACCGAACCGACUAAUGUUGAAAAAUUAGCGGAUGACCUGUGGCUGGGGGUGAAAGGCCAAUCAAACCGGGAGAUAGCUGGUUCUCCCCGAAAGCUAUUUAGGUAGCGCCUCGUGAAUUCAUCUCCGGGGGUAGAGCACUGUUUCGGCUAGGGGGCCAUCCCGGCUUACCAACCCGAUGCAAACUGCGAAUACCGGAGAAUGUUAUCACGGGAGACACACGGCGGGUGCUAACGUCCGUCGUGAAGAGGGAAACAACCCAGACCGCCAGCUAAGGUCCCAAAGUCAUGGUUAAGUGGGAAACGAUGUGGGAAGGCCCAGACAGCCAGGAUGUUGGCUUAGAAGCAGCCAUCAUUUAAAGAAAGCGUAAUAGCUCACUGGUCGAGUCGGCCUGCGCGGAAGAUGUAACGGGGCUAAACCAUGCACCGAAGCUGCGGCAGCGACACUAUGUGUUGUUGGGUAGGGGAGCGUUCUGUAAGCCUGUGAAGGUGUGUCGUGAGGCAUGCUGGAGGUAUCAGAAGUGCGAAUGCUGACAUAAGUAACGAUAAAGCGGGUGAAAAGCCCGCUCGCCGGAAGACCAAGGGUUCCUGUCCAACGUUAAUCGGGGCAGGGUGAGUCGACCCCUAAGGCGAGGCCGAAAGGCGUAGUCGAUGGGAAACGGGUUAAUAUUCCCGUACUUGGUGUUACUGCGAAGGGGGGACGGAGAAGGCUAUGUUGGCCGGGCGACGGUUGUCCCGGUUUAAGCGUGUAGGUGUGUGUUCCAGGUAAAUCCGGUUCACUUUAACACUGAGGCGUGACGACGAGGCACUACGGUGCUGAAGCAACAAAUGCCCUGCUUCCAGGAAAAGCCUCUAAGCAUCAGGUAACAUCAAAUCGUACCCCAAACCGACACAGGUGGUCAGGUAGAGAAUACCAAGGCGCUUGAGAGAACUCGGGUGAAGGAACUAGGCAAAAUGGUGCCGUAACUUCGGGAGAAGGCACGCUGACAC
rnacentral:rRNA from 1 species